rnacentral:rRNA from 1 species
GACGAACGCUGGCGGCGUGCCUAAUACAUGCCAGUCGAGCGAAGUUUUUCUGGUGCUUGCACUAGAAAAACUUAGCGGCGAACGGGUGAGUAACACGUAAAGAACCUGCCUCAUAGACUGGGACAACUAUUGGAAACGAUAGCUAAUACCGGAUAACAGUAUUUCUCGCAUGAGAGAUAUUUAAAAGUUGGUUAUGCUAACACUAUGAGAUGGCCUUGCGGUGCAUUAGCUAGUUGGUGGGGUAAAGGCCCACCAAGGCGACGAUGCAUAGCCGACCUGAGAGGGUGAUCGGCCACACUGGGACUGAGACACGGCCCAGACUCCUACGGGAGGCAGCAGUAGGGAAUCUUCCGCAAUGGGCGAAAGCCUGACGGAGCAACGCCGCGUGAGUGAAGAAGGAUUUCGGUUCGUAAAGCUCUGUUGUUAGGGAAGAAUGGAUAUGUAGUAACUAUACAUGUAAGAGACGGUACCUAACCAGAAAGCCACGGCUAACUACGUG